rnacentral:tRNA from 1 species
CCGUGCUUGGCCGAUCGGUCGAGGCACCGGUUUUCCAAACCGGGUAAGUGGGUAAGUGGCCUGUCGUCAGGCCAUCGAUUCCCGCAGCACGGUCCA